rnacentral:rRNA from 1 species
CAUAGGUUAAUGAGGCGAACCGGGGGAACUGAAACAUCUAAGUACCCCGAGGAAAAGAAAUCAACCGAGAUUCCCCCAGUAGCGGCGAGCGAACGGGGAGCAGCCCAGAGCCUGAAUCAGUGUGUGUGUUAGUGGAAGCGUCUGGAAAGGCGCGCGAUACAGGGUGACAGCCCCGUACACAAAAAUGCACAUGCUGUGAGCUCGAUGAGUAGGGCGGGACACGUGGUAUCCUGUCUGAAUAUGGGGGGACCAUCCUCCAAGGCUAAAUACUCCUGACUGACCGAUAGUGAACCAGUACCGUGAGGGAAAGGCGAAAAGAACCCCGGCGAGGGGAGUGAAAAAGAACCUGAAACCGUGUACGUACAAGCAGUGGGAGCCUCUUUAUGGGGUGACUGCGUACCUUUUGUAUAAUGGGUCAGCGACUUAUAUUCUGUAGCAAGGUUAACCGAAUAGGGGAGCCGAAGGGAAACCGAGUCUUAACUGGGCGUUAAGUUGCAGGGUAUAGACCCGAAACCCGGUGAUCUAGCCAUGGGCAGGUUGAAGGUUGGGUAACACUAACUGGAGGACCGAACCGACUAAUGUUGAAAAAUUAGCGGAUGACUUGUGGCUGGGGGUGAAAGGCCAAUCAAACCGGGAGAUAGCUGGUUCUCCCCGAAAGCU